GCAUCCACAGCCAUGAGACAUCAAGCAAGCUGACGUGAAGCUACAUGAAGAGAUGUUAUGAUGGAAGCAACUAACGUUACAGUAAUACAGGGUAGUUUUGACAGCGAACUUACCGUUAAUGUCCACUAUAAUUGCUCUGAAUGAAGAAACAGGGGACCCGGGUGAGACCCCCGCCGCCCGUGACUCCACACAACCAAAACAAUACUUCGGUCUCCACUGCGGAUCUAUAACAGUGGUUUUAAAAUGUUGAAUCUUGCAACACACCUCUUGUAAAACCCUAUGUACUCUUUCUUCUAUUAUUACAGCUGUGAUCACAACCUAAUGUACAGUUUUAAUUCAGUUAAAACUGUUUUAAUACUGCCCUACCUACGCUGACUUGUAGGAAACUAGAUCCCUCUACCCCUGUCUCUUUUCCCUUUGCAAAAAUGGCGGCGCUGGUAGAACUGCCGUGACUCCGCCUCCCCCACGACUCCCUCCUCCCUGUCAACGCGAACCCCGCCCCCACACCUUGCGGGUUCACCCACCGAGCAUUACAGGGGCUUUGGGGACGACGAGGAGGGUUCAUUCACGGCAAAUUUCUAGGCUACGAGAAAUCUGGCGACGGUUUAAAAAAAACCAAUCUCACCAAUUGCUCUGAAAACAUGGAAAGGCUGACUCGAAAGUUACACAUUGUGUCUGUUAUAUUAUAUUUUUUAGAAACAUUUCUCUGAAUACCCAGACAGCCAUUUUGGCUAAGGUUUGACUCACUUUGUCCACAAAUGUCAUUAAAGGUACCUGUCAGCUAAGCAUGAGGAAUCUUAUUCUUCAAAAAUACCAGUGAAGACCUGUGCGCGGUUAGUUAACACCUCGUUAGAAGGACUUUUAUGGUUUAGCAUUUAACAUCUCGUUAGAAGGGUUUAGUAUUAAACUUUCAGAAAUGAAUGGUAAGUGUUUCGCCUAUGUGAAGGUAGUGAAUGACUGAUGACAGUCCAAGCAAGGCUAAUAGAACUGAAAAUGAGACGCCAAAUCUGCUUUCCAACGCGAUGGGAGACUGCAAAUCUGUGUUACGUAACGACUUUACACAAGCGUAGUGCUUCCUUGAUAAAGGGGGUGCACUGAAAGAUACAUUGAACAAAGGGAAUGGAACAUACCAGGCAGUGAGAUUUUCAGCUAGGCCCGAGGCCAGGUCUAAAAGGUAUG
rnacentral:lncRNA from 1 species